GAUGAAGAACGUAGCGAAAUGCGAUAAGUAAUGCGAAUUGCAGAAUUUCCGUGAGUCAUCGAAUCUUUGAACGCACAUUGCGCCCACUGGUAUUCCGGUGGGCAUGCCUGUUCGAGCGUCAUUAUCCUCCCUCAAACCCCGGGUUUGGUGUUGGACCCAAGUUGUGUGAACAACUGGUCUCAAAGACAAUGACGGCGUCCGUGGGACCCUCGGUGCAACGAGCUUUUAGGAGCACGCAUCGAGUUGCAAGGACCUUACGGGCCGGUCUCCUUUACCAUUUUACAAGGUUGACCUCGGAUCAGGUAGGAAUACCCGCUGAACUUAAGCAUAUCAAUAAGCGGAGGA
rnacentral:misc_RNA from 1 species